rnacentral:rRNA from 1 species
CCUACGGUAGGCAGCAGUGGGGAAUAUUGCGCAAUGGACGAGAGCCUGACGCAGCGACGCCGCGUGAGGGAUGUAAGUCUUCGGAUCGUAACCCUCUGUCAGCAGGGAAGAACGGUCACUGUGCUAAUCAGCAGUUAAUUGACGGUACCUGCCAAGGAAGCACCGGCUAACUCCGUGCCAGCCGCCGCGGUAAUACGGAGGGUGCGAGCGUUAAUCGGAAUUAAUGGGCGUAAAGCGCUCGUAGGCGGUAUGUCAAGUCAAGGGUGAAAUCCCCGCGCUCAACGGGGGAACUGCCUUUGAAACUGGCAAAGUGGAGUGUGUGAGAGGAUAGUGGAAUUCCAGGUGUAGGAGUGAAAUCCGUAGAUAUCUGGAGGAACAUCAGUGGCGAAGGCGACUAUCUGGCACAUAACUGACGCUGAGGAGCGAAAGCGUGGGUAGCAAACAGGAUUAGAUACCCUAGUAGUC